rnacentral:rRNA from 1 species
UCCGUAGGUGAACCUGCGGAAGGAUCAUUAUCGUAGGGCUUCGGCCCUGUCGAGAUAGAACCCUUGCCUUUUUGAGUACCUUUCGUUUCCUCGGCAGGCUCGCCUGCCAAUGGGGACCCCAAAAAACACUUUGCAGUACCUGUAAUAGUCUGAACAAACAAACAAAAAUUAAAACUUUCAACAACGGAUCUCUUGGUUCUGGCAUCGAUGAAGAACGCAGCGAAAUGCGAUAAGUAGUGUGAAUUGCAGAAUUCAGUGAAUCAUCGAAUCUUUGAACGCACAUUGCGCCCUUUGGUAUUCCUUAGGGCAUGCCUGUUCGAGCGUCAUUUCAACCCUCAGGGCCCUCCAGCAGGGCGCUGGUGUUGGGGAUCGGCAGUCCCAGCGGCUGCCGUCCCUGAAAUGUAGUGGCGGUCCCACCGUGACCUCCCCUGUGCAGUACAUCGCUCGCAGAGGGACAGCGGUGCGGCCACGCCGUAAAACGCCCAACUCUUCAAGGUUGACCUCGGAUCAGGUAGGACUACCCGCUGAACUUAAGCAUAUCAAUAAGCGGAGGAAGUCGACUGCCAAGGGGCACACAGGGGGGGAUA